UACGGAAGGCAGCAGUGGGGAAUAUUGCACAAUGGGCGCAAGCCUGAUGCAGCCAUGCCGCGUGUAUGAAGAAGGCCUUCGGGCUGUAAAGUACUUUCAGUCGUGAGGAAGGUGUUAAGGUUAAUAACCUUAGCAAUUGACGUUAGCGACAGAAGAAGCACCGGCUAACUCCGUGCCAGCAGCCGCGGUAAUACGGAGGGUGCGAGCGUUAAUCGGAAUUACUGGGCGUAAAGGGCACGCAGGCGGUUAAUUAAGUUGGAUGUGAAAUCCCCGGGCUUAACCUGGGAAUGGCAUUCAAGACUGGUUAGCUAGAGUCUUGUAGAGGGGGUAGAAUUCCGAUGUGUAGCGGUGAAAUGCGUAGAGAUGUGGAGGAAUACCGGUGGCGAAGGCGGCCCCUGGGACAAAGGCUGACGCUCAUGUGCGAAAGCGUGGGGAGCAAACAGGGAUUAGAUACC
rnacentral:rRNA from 1 species